GGGUGGGCUGCCUGCGCUGGCUGAGCUGGAUUAAAUCGGUGCUCUAGCAGGUGGGGCAGACCCUGGGCUAGCAGGCCUCAGGGAGAACUCCAAUGGCGUCUGUGUCAGCACACCCACACCAGGCCACAACAAUGGCCGCUGCCAAUGUCCCAGUCCCUGGAGAGGUCUUACCUCUCACUGAGAUGCACUCAGGGCCUAUUAGCCUCUGCAGGAUUCAUACCUGAAGCAAAGGAAACUAAUCUUCCAGCGGCAGUAUCUGAGGGGCACACAGGUGGCAAAAGCAAUUGUGGAGAUCUGCCAACACACACAAACAGCACUACCAGUAAGACUUGCUCCAUGAAGACAGAAGAGCACUCAUUUACAUUGUGAUGCAAGACUGGGAUCUUGAAUAGCACAUCUAACAUCCUCAAAGAGAUUUGAGAAAAUAUGGCACCUAGGAAACAAGUACAAAACCCAAGACAUUAUAAAAAGAAGAUGGAGAAUAAGAACAAGGAUAUUUUGAUUAGCAAUUAUAAAAAAUUGAAAUAUUUGAAGAUAACCUGAAAGACUUUCCAAAAAAGAAAAAGAAAGGCAAAGAGACAGAAAUUAUAGAAAAUAAAUAAGAAAGAAGCCAGCAACCCAGGAGGUCCAACAUUCCACUAAUUAGUGUUCAGAAAAAAGAGAACAGUAAAAGAAGACAGAAGGAAACUAUCAAAGAUAAUAUAGAAGAGAAUUUUCCAAUGAUGAUAAAGGAUAAGUUUUCCGAUUAAAAGCAUAUCUGAUUGGCUAGUGCAAUGAAUUUAAAAAAUCCAAUCCACACCUGAACACUUAACUUUGAAAUUUUAGGAAAUAAAUAGAAGAUCUUAAAAUUUUCCAGAGUAAAAAACAGAAGAAAUAUGAGUUAUACAAGUGGAUUCUAGGAUAUUACAAUGUUCUUAAUGUUCUGAAUAUACCAAAGAAAAUAUACAUAGAUAUACAUACACAUAUAUAUUCAAUAUACAGUUUUAUAACCAAUUAACUUUUCAUUACAUGAGGACAGUAUAAAGACAUUGUCAUACCUACAAGAACUCAGAAAGUUUACUUCACCUGCAUCCCUUUAAAACGAUGUUACUUAAAGAUAUACUGCAACAAAGCAAAGGUGUCUUCUAAGAAUGAGGAACAAAUGAGAUCAAUCCAGGAGCAUGUAAUUUAAUUCAAUAGAGAAGAGAAGAGAGGUUUGAGAAUGACAAUUGUACACCACCCCAUUAAUAACCAAUCAAGACUGGAACCAGAGGAUAGAAGGUUCUGGAAGGAAGUUUCAUGGAAAAAGGAGGACUUGAUAAAUUAGAUAGUAUUAUUAGAACUCAAAAAAAUUGUGGCUACAAAAAAGACAAAUAGUAUUUUUUAAAGAAGGAAAUAAAUUCUAGGAAGAAAAUAUUUUCAAGAAAAUCAUGAUGAGACAACUGAAAAUAUGAUCAUUUAAAUCCAUAAUUGUAGCACAAGAAAAGAGAAUCCAUUUUUGUUGUUGUUGUUCUUAUUAUUGAAAUUAGGAACGUUUUUCAUCAAGUCAUCCAGAGGUAGUAACAGUUGAGCAAGAGAGAAGAAAACAUAUUUCUAGCAUACUUAUUGGCUCAGCAGUGAAAAAUCUUUACAUAGCCACAAAAAUGUAAUGCUUAACACUAUUUUCCAAUUCGUAGAGUCAAUCCAUGGCCAGAGUUUGGAGGACAGUUUUGCAUGUAGAGCAGAAUGCAAAUGUUACCAAUAUUAGCAAGGUAAAAAUGCAAGAGUAAUAGACAGAUGGUAGGAUAUGGAAGGUGGGAAAAACAAUAGAGGAAGAGCUGGAGGAACCAAUGUCUUUAUCUGACAAAGGGAGGGACAAAGUAAUAUUAUUGAAAGUGAUGCAUCAGACUUCACACCAAGGCAGUAUAACUUCAUGUUUUGAAAUAUCCCCUUCUAUUCAAAUCAUAUAGUUGUUCUUGACAAUAUGAUUCCAUGAUAUGCUCCCAUAAACCCCUCUGAAACGGUAUAGUUUCCCUGGACUUCAGGGAUGUUGAGAGCGAUCUAAUCAUCAAGUUACUACAAUCACUCCUAUCCUGAACUGUGGUAGGCAGAAUAAUACACUCUCCCGAAAGAUGUCCAUGUCCUAAUUCCAGAAUCUGCUAAUAUGUUACCUUAUGGAUCAAAAUGUAAUUUGCAAAUGUGAUUAAGUUAAGAAUAUUGAGAUAGGAAUAUUAUCUUGGAUUAUCCCAUGGUCCUAGUGUAAUCACAAGAGGGAUUCCCUUAUAAGAGGGAAGCAGGAAGUUUAGAGUCAGAGGGAGAGAUUUGAAGAUGCUACCCUGCAGGCUUUUGAAGAUGGAUGGAAGGGCCAAGAAAUUCAGGAGGCCCUUAGAAGCUGGAAGAGCCAAGGAACUAAAUUCUCCAUUAGGGCCUCCAGAAGGAACA